UGGAGAUGAUGAAAUAGAGAUAAUUGAUGUGGGUGUGGGGUGUGAGUGAGAGAGAGAGGAUGGAGAAUUGUAUUCUGAUUAAGUGUGUGCAUGUGUGUGCAUGUUUAGAGGAUCAUAUUAUGGUGCUGAUUUCGGAGUUCUUCUGAGGCACAUUUGCUAACUAAUGGGGGUCUUUGCUGCGAUGCUGCCAAUGAUUAGAACCCGAAAUUACCUCAUAAUUUGCACCAAAACAUCUUAAAUCUCUACCAGGUUCAUUUUGUCCUACAAAAGAACUUGUGUUCUGAUCUAA